rnacentral:rRNA from 1 species
GCAAGUCGAGCGCAGUCCUUCGGGACCGAGCGGCGGACGGGUUAGUAACGCGUGGGAAUAUACCCGACUCUAAGGAAUAGCCACUGGAAACGGUGAGUAAUACCUUAUACGCCCUUCGGGGGAAAGAUUUAUCGGAGACGGAUUAGCCCGCGUUAGAUUAGGUAGUUGGUGGGGUAAUGGCCUACCAAGCCUACGAUCUAUAGCUGGUUUUAGAGGACGAUC